rnacentral:lncRNA from 1 species
AUGAAAAUCGCUGGAUGCACAUCUGUCACUCAUGCAGCCAUCCUUUCUCGAUUCCGCCCAAAAUCGGUUGACCAUCGGUCAGUGCCCUAUCAAGUAAGUGGAGUGCGUCAAGUGCCGGAUCAUCUCUGCUCAUUUUUCAAGAAGCUUCUCCCUUACUGUAACUCUUAUCAAGUAAAGAUGAAUGUAUUUACAAAAACAAUUGAGAUUACGUCGAGCUCGCAUGGAAUUCUUCGAGUUGAAUAUGGAGGUGACAUAUCCUUAUCUAGAAACAUAGUUUUAUCAGCCAAUCCUUCAGCCCGCACUUCGUCGGCCAGUGCUUCAUCAACUCGUGCUCCAUCGGGCCGUAUUUCAUCAGCUCGUAUUUCAUCAGCCAAUCCUUCAGCCCGCACUUCGUCGGCCAGUGCUUCAUCAACUCGUGCUCCAUCGGGCCGUAUUUCAUCGGCUCGUAUUUCAUCAGCCAGUACUUCCGGUACUUCAUCAGCCAGUACUUCCAGUACUUCAUCAGCCCGCGCUUCACCAUCCCGCACUUCAUCUAUCCGUACUUCAUCAGCCCGCACUACAUCAGUCUGUAAUUCAUCAGCCAUUCCUUCAGCCCGCACUACGUCAGCCAGUGCUUCAUCAACUCGUGCUCCAUCAGCCCGCACUUCAUCAGUCCGUACUAUAUCUGAUGUUGAUGAAGUACUGGCUGAUGAAACACGGACUGAUUCAGUCCGCGCUUCAUCAACUCGUGCUCCAUCAGCCCGCACUUCAUCAGUCCGUCCUUUACCAGUCGGUACUUCAUCACAAAGAGCUGGUUCAUCCAUGGCUUCGUCUCCUCGUACCCUCAAAAUAGUUCACGAGAAAGAUGAUGUAAAAAAAAUGUGUACUAAAAGGAUCUCAGGAGAAUACACAUUUGGAAGAUUAUUUUGUCCCGUUUGUUUCACAGACAUCUUGAAGCCAGAGGCUAAAGCUGAAGUGACCCGCUGCGGCCAUAUUUUUUGCUACGACUGUAUUGGAGAGGUGAUCCGUCGUGACAGAAAGUGCCCAACAUGCAGAGAGUACAUAGAAGCAGGCUUUCAUCAUGCAGUUUACUUUCCCUUGGUAGCGGAUUCAUAA